ensembl:snRNA U4 U4 spliceosomal RNA
AGCUUUGUGCAGGGAGGUAUCGUAGCCCAUGAGGUGUAUCCGAGGCGCCAUUAUUGCUGAUUGAAAACUUUUCCCAAGACCCCGCCGUGACGACUUGCAAUAUAGACAGCAUUGGCAAUUUUUGAUAGUCUCUACGGAGA